rnacentral:rRNA from 1 species
UCAAGCUAAGAAGAGCAUAAGGGGAAUGCCUUGGCAUCAGGAGCCGAAGAAGGACGUGACAAGCUGCGAAAAGCUGCGGGGAGCUGCAAAUAAGCAUUGAUCCGCAGAUAUCCGAAUGGGGAAACCCAUGUGAUGAAGAAUCACAUAGCAUAUGGUGAAUCAAAUAGUCAUAUGCGGGGAACCUCCCGAACUGAAACAUCUAAGUAGGGAGAGGAAAAGAAAUCAACCGAGAUUCCGCAAGUAGUGGCGAGCGAACGCGGAAGAGGCCAAACCGGAAGUAGAAAUACAUCCGGGGUUCGGACUGUGAAAGCUAUGUUGGAAGUUAGCCGAAAUGUAUGGGAAGACAUACCAAAGAAUGUGAGAGUCAUGUAGGCGAAAACGGAAAACAGGCGGCAGUAUCCAGAGUACGGACGGACACGAGGAAUCCGUUCGGAAUACGGGUGGACCAUCAUCCAAGCCUAAAUACUACCUGAUGACCGAUAGAGAAGAAGUACCGUGAGGGAAAGGUGAAAAGAACCGCGGGAGCGGAGUGAAAGAGAACCUGAAACCUUAUGUUUACAAGCACACAAAGCACGUUAAAGUGCGAUGUGGUACCUUUUGUAGAAUGGUCCGGCGAGUUAUUGUAUGAAGCGAGGUUAAGGGCCUAAGGUCCGGAGCCGCAGGGAAACCGAGUGUGAAUAGCACGGAAGUUUUAUGCAAUAGACCCGAAACCGGGUGACCUAUCCAUGGGCAGGUUGAAGUUGCCGUAAAAGGCAAUGGAGGACCGAACCGACCCCCGUUGAAAAGUUGGCGGAUGACUUGUGGAUAGCGGAGAAAUUCCAAUCGAACCCGGAUAUAGCUGGUUCUCCCCGAAAUAGCUUUAGGGCUAGCCUCAUAACUGUUUGCCGGAGGUAAAGCACUGAAUAGGCGCGGGGUCGAGAGAUUACCAACCCUUAUCAAACUAAGAAUACCGGACAAAUGAAUUAUGGGAGUCAGACUACGUGAGAUAAGUCUCGUGGUCGAAAGGGAAACAGCCCAGACCCACAGCUAAGGUCCCAAAUACAUGCUAAGUGGAAAAGGAUGUGGCAAUGCAAAGACAACCAGGAUGUUGGCUUAGAAGCAGCCACUCAUUGAAAGAGUGCGUAACAGCUCACUGGUCGAGUGAUGCUGCGCCGAAGAUUUAACGGGGCUAAGCAUGUAACCGAAGCUUGGGCAGGUAUUAAAUACCUGGGUAGGGGAGCGUUCCAUAAGGGGUGAAGUCAGACCGAAAGGACUGGUGGACUUUAUGGAAGAGAGAAUGCCGGAAUGAGUAGCGAGAAUUGCGUGAGAAUCGUAAUGGCCGAAAAUCUAAGGUUUCCAGGGGUAGGUUCGUCCGCCCUGGGUUAGCCGGGGGCUAAGGCGAGGCCGAAAGGCGUAGUCGAUGCACAUACGGUGGAAAUUCCGUAGCCGCUGAAGAUUUAAGCACACUGACACACAUGUGGACCUUGAGCCGGGGGUUGGUAGACCCGGUCGAAAGGGACUGAAAUUAGAGUAGGGAAGCAAGGAAGACAUGUGGCGAGAAAAGGUGUGAGGGAUAUCUGGAGCGCCCGUACCGCAAACCGACACAGGUAGAUGAGGAGAGAAUCCUAAGGCCAACGGGAGAAGGGUUGUUAAGGAACUCGGCAUAAUGACUCCGUAACUUCGGGAGAAGGAGUGCCAGCGCAAGCUGGCCGCAGUGAAAAGGCCCAGGCGACUGUUUAUCAAAAACACAGGUCUCUGCAAAACCGAAAGGUGAAGUAUAGGGGCUGACGCCUGCCCGGUGCUGGAAGGUCAAGGGGAAGUGUAAGGGGAAACCCGAAGCACAGAACUUAAGCCCCAGUAAACGGCGGCCGUAACUAUAACGGUCCUAAGGUAGCGAAAUUCCUUGUCAGGUAAGUUCUGACCCGCACGAAUGGCGUAACGAUCUGGGCACUGUCUCAACAGCCCGCCCGGCGAAAUUGUAGUACCGGUGAAGAUGCCGGUUACCCGCGACUAGACGGAAAGACCCCAUGGAGCUUUACUGUAGCCUGAUACUGGAAUUCGGUCUAUUAUGUACAGGAUAGGUGGGAGACUAUGAAGCAGAGGCGUCAGCCUUUGUGGAGUCGACCUUGGGAUACCACUCUUGAUAGAUCGGAUUUCUAACCAGCGGCCGUGGAUCCGGCCGUGGGACAAUGUCAGGUGGGCAGUUUGACUGGGGCGGUCGCCUCCAAAAGAGUAACGGAGGCGUUCAAAGGUCAGCUCAGCGCGGACGGAAAUCGCGCACAGAGUGUAAACGCAAAAGCUGGCCUAACUGCGAGACCUACAAGUCGAGCAGUAACGAAAGUUGGAGUUAGUGAUCAGGUGGUAGUGAAUGGAAAUGCCAUCGCUUAACGGAUAAAAGCUACCCUGGGGAUAACAGGCUGAUUUCCCCCAAGAGUUCACAUCGACGGGGAAGUUUGGCACCUCGAUGUCGGCUCAUCACAUCCUGGGGCUUGGAGAAGGUCCCAAGGGUUCGGCUGUCCGCCGAUUAAAGUGGUACGCGAGCUGGGUUCAGAACGUCGUGAGACAGUUCGGUCCCUAUCUGUCGUGGGCGCAGGAUAUUUGAGAGGAGCUGACCUUAGUACGAGAGGACCGGGUCGGACGUACCUCCGGUGCAUCAGUUGUACUGCCAAGUGCAUAGCUGAGUAGCCGCGUACGGAUGCGAUAAACGCUGAAAGCAUCUAAGCGUGAAACGUACCUCAAGAUUAGAUAUCCCACAGCAUAAGCUGGUAAGGUCACUCGUAGACUACGAGUUUGAUAGGUCGGAGGUGUACGCACAGUAAUGUGUUUAGCUGACCGAUACUAAUAGACCGAGGGCUUGAAC